rnacentral:rRNA from 1 species
AGCGUACAACGAGAUCGGUCUAGGGGAAAGAGAGAAGGAACAAGAGAGGCAAGUGAGGUUUUAAUGACGGCGGUCUAUCGAGGGGCAGUCGAACGAAGGAACUAAGCAACGGUACUCGAACGAGUAGGAGAGGACGUCGGUGGGGGCGUCGAGCUAAGCGACCAGGCCGGUAUCCUACUGGAAGUUGCUGCCGACCAAACAGAGGUGCAUGCGGAAGAGCCAGAGGAUCCGACCAUUUGCCGCUACCUCCCCAUCGUCCGGGUUCCAGUUCGACGCUUCCCUCAUCCGCUCUAGUAGGUAGACGCGCCACAACAACGACAGCCGCAGGCACGUCCACUACACCCGUACCUAAAGCAGAGAACGUCGGUAGAAACUAGGUAGAAAUCAUGAAUACUCCUACCACCUUUGCAAAAGACGGGGAUCUCGCGGUCGGUUUGCGUAGGAGGUGUACCCGCUGUAAUAAACUUCAAGCUUCCAAAGAGUUUAAGGUACGAUACACGGGGUGGUAAAGAAAAGUAACAAAUAAGGACGUGUUAUCUCUUACUUUUAUAUUUCAAGUUCUCCUACUAUAAUAUUAUAAUAAUGUUUGUUACCAUCUUGGUUUAAACACAAAAAAACCCCUCUACCUAGUACCUACUGAUGUUUCUAGUUACUGCUACUUGGACGACUAUAAACCUCUACCCUCAUAGAACGAGGCGGCGAACUCUUGACCCGGCUGGUCGGGACGAGCAGGGUUACCAACCAGGUGGUGUCCAAUGCCUAAUUACGAGUUCAAACACUUCUAAGUAAUAAAAAUAAUGAAAAACGGAAUGAAAAGUGCAAUAAAAAUACGGUAAACAUGAACUAAUUACUCCAUAAAAUAAAUCUGUCUUAAUGACUCCAUAAGUCAGGUUUAUAAUACACCUGGUAAUAGACUAGAUGUAUGACGUUCAUCUAUAGUAUGACGUCAUAGGAAUGGGAAACGAAGAAUUAUCUGAAGUCUGGAUACCAACGGCAAGGCGUUAGGAUCUAAUAUCAUCUCCUACUACUAGAUUAGGACACUCUACCAUGAAUGAUUUCUACCAGACUAGAGAACUGUCUCGGCUAAUACUAACUCCUAUCUGCUGUACUCUGACCCCACGUCCACUGGCUACGUCCUUCUGUUACGAAUUCACGGUGAACAACCUCCUUCAACAGCUUCACAACAAACGGCCUCCUUCUACUACAUUAUCCCCAUGAGACUUUAGAUUUCCUGUUACGUAAAAACUCUACCAGCUUCGUAACGUACCCCUUUCAUAAAAUGCCUACCGACUCAACUGGUGUGAACGAGCUACCUUUCUCUCCAACGAACCUACGCCUCUCUAAAAUAGAUACAUGCACUUGCACUCUAAAACAAAUACAAACCUCUCUAAUACGGAUCUAAAAUAAAUACAUGCACUUGCACUCUAAAACAAAUACAAACCUCUCUAUAAAACAAAUACAAACCUCUCUAUACAGAAACAUUUUAUAACUAUCUCAAACCAGUAACGCAGUACUAGCAAACUGAAAAAGAACCUGGUACUCUCAAUAUAUAAAAAUUUGCACACUACUAUUCAAAAAAAUUAAU